AUGUUGUAAACUAGCGUGCCAUGUAGCCUACAUUCGGCUGUGUGUAUGUCUGUGAGAAUGAGUGCUGUGUGCGUGUCUAAAAGUGAGCAAGUUCAGUAAAAGUAACCUACAUAGUUUGCGCGCUGUUCCUACAAUUAUUUUUGCAAAGUAUAGGAGGAGAAAGUCGAAACGACUAUGAUGUAUUCAUUUGGGACCUGGGAAACCAACCAGCUACCAGGACUGGCUACGUCGCUACCAAGCUAAAUAAACGCACAAGAAGUCGGUUUUAGUUCAAAUUCGUCCUAAUCCAGCCUGUCACAAAUAACGGAUUUGGUCGCUAUCAUGUCAAGAUUUUGACCUGCACAGAGUUUAUUUUCAACCUGAUAGGCUGAUUCUUCUCUUCAACAGAAGUUGAGCGUGCCACCUUUGUGUGUGUGGUGUGUGCGUUCAUGUGUAAAUGUGUGCGACUGAUGUGUAAACUGCUGUACAUUCGCAAUGAAUGCACUUUAGUUGUCGCAUGGCUUCACACCAGUGUACAUUUAGCAACAAAAAUAGUUUGGGGAAACCAUAUUCGUAAAAUUUCAGGAUGUUGAAGACUCUAACCAAGAAGCUAAGGAGACACUCACUCAACGAGAUACAUCCCUUUCAGUUCAAGAUUUCCUACCAUUGCAGUGGGGAGGGAGGAGAGAGCGACGAUUCCGAGGGGGAGAACCAGGAGCUUGCACAGAUUGACAGAGAGAGGCGGCGGAACGGCGGCCUCACCCCUCUGGCCACCAGCCAACAGCACAACCAGGGUCCCCUCUCCCCGGCAUGCCUCUGUCACCUACACCUCCUUCUAGACCCAACUCUGGACCACCACUCUUCCGAAGAAGAGCUGGAGCGAAUCAGCCGCGGCGUUGGAGAUGGCAAGAAGUGGAUGCUGCACCAUCACCACGUCGAGCACCACAGCAGUGCCUCCAGCGACGAGGAGGUGCGGGACCUGUUCGGCUGUGGUCCGGUGGUGGCGGCCUUGGAGCCUGGGACUUGCCUGGAGGCCUCCCCCAGCCCAGUGCUCUUUAGCUCCAGCCCGCCUCGCAGCCUCAAGCCCCCACCGCCCAUUCGGCUACAGUUCCAGGUGGUGCAGCCUGCUGCUAGGCCCAUUAUCUUGACCCACUUUGACCAGUCAGCGGUUCCCUAUACGAAGCACAGGCACAGCUACGGGGGAGAGGUUGGGAGGCCGAGUCUGGACCUGGAGAAAAUGCAACAGAAAAUGCUCCUUAAAAAGAACUGUGGUGGGAAAACACGGAACAUAAAGAUUCGGGUGCAAAGGUGAGCCCUUCACCAUUAGGAAAUAUGUCUGCAUUUCUGCCUUCAAUGUUCAGUAUGUUGCUCAUUCCUGAACAUGACAUGGCUAGAUCAGCAAGGAGCUGUCGGAUAAGUACGAGUGGAUGGUGAACCCGGAGAAGGCCCUGGAGGACUCCAAGACCCCACUGUUCAAAGAGGAACCCAUGAGUGAUGUUGCCUUCCCCGUCCGUGAGGAGCCUAAGGUGGACCUGGGCUCCGGGGAGCAGACACUCCCCAUGGGGAUGCUGGGGGCCCCUCAACGAGAGUCAGUCUGGUAAUACCCCAUAAUACUGUAUGAAUUUGGACUGUGAAGCUAGCAUUGUCAUUUUUGGGGCUCCGUACUCCAGCAUUUUGGAAUUUUGGAUUUUAUUUGAAUUAUUAUGAGGCGACAAUACAGAAUGUGGUCUGAAGUGAAGUAUUUGAUCUCAUACGCAAUGACGAGACUUUGUCUGACUACUUACAUUCAUUUUGAUGCUACCACGAUUAUGACAAAUCAUUAAUGAAUCAUGAGUAAUGACGAGUGAGAUAGGUACAGAGGCAUAAUGAUGAUACCCUCCCAAAAAUGCUAAAGUGACAUUCUGAACAAUUGUGUCAUAUAGAUCAUUUGAUGUCAAAUCCAAAAUCCUGGAGAAUAGAGAGACAAAAUAAACAAAUGUCCAAAUAUACUGAACAAAAAUAUAAAUGCAACAAUUUCAACGAUUUUACUGAGUUACAGGUCAUACAAGGAAAUCAGUCAAUUUAAAUUCAUUAGGCCAUAAUCUAUGGAUUUCACAUGACUGGGCAGGAGCGCAGCCAUGGACAGGCCUGGGAGGACCCAAUGAGUUGGAAGUAUUGGGCUGCGGUUUGGGUUUGCGGUUGUGUGGCCGGUUGGACAUACUGCCAAAUUUUCUAAAAUGACAUUGGAGGCAGCUUAUGGUAGAGAAAUGAACAUUCAAUUCUCUGGUAACAGCUCUGUUGGACAUUCCUGUAGUCAGCAUGUCAAUCGCACACUCCAUCAGAACUUUGAGACAUGUGUGGCAUUGUGUUGUGUGACAAAACUGCCCAUUUUAGAGUGGCCUUUUAUUGUUCCCAGCACAUGGUGCACUUGUGUAAAUAUCAUGCUGUUUAAGCAGCUUCAUGAUAUGCCACACCUGUCAGUUGGAGUAUUUUGGCAAAGGAGAAAUGUUCACUAGGGAUGUAAACACAUUUGUGCACAUUUUAGAGAAAUAAACACUUUGUGCUGUGGCAAAUGGCAGGGAGAGAUGAUGAGAGUGGUGUCUUGCAGCCUGCUGGCUCCACCCCCGAGCCUUUUAUGAACUUCCUGUCCCAAUGAGGCAAAGCUGUUGGAUCAUUAAGCCAUUGAGUGCUUGGGGAUAAAAGAGGAAGCGGGCUGCAUUAAGAGGACUGAGAGGGAAAUGUGUGUUAUGGAGAAUGUGAGAAGCGUGAGAAUUCGCUGUAUGAUUACCCGUUGUGAACUGGUUGCUGGAUCCCCACCUUUCACACUGUGUGCAAAUAUCCCAAAUAAAUUAUCCAUUUGCAUUCUA